CCAUGGAGAUAAACCACUACCUAAGCAAGAGCUUGCAGCCACCCAAGCAAACUCCAACGCAGAGAAACCAUUGCCUGAGCAAGAGCUUGCAGCUACCCAAUCAAACUCCAAUGGAGAUAAACCUGUGCCUAAGCAAGAGCUUGCAGCUACCCAAGCAAACUUCAAUGGAGAUAAACCUGUGCCUGAGCAAGAGUUUGCAGCUACCCAAGCAAACUCCAAUGGAGAUAAACCCGUGUCUGAGCAAGAGCUUGCAGCUACCCAAGCAAACUCCAAUGGAGAUAAACCUGCGUCUGAGCAAGAGCUUGCAGCUACUGAAGCAAACUCCAAUGGAGAUAAACCAGUGCCUGAGCAAGAGCUUGCAGCUACCGAAGCAAACUCCACUGGAGAUAAACCAGUGCCUAAGCAAGAGCUUGCAGCUACCCAAUCAAAUUCCAAUGGAGAUAAACCUGUGCCUGAGCAAGAGCUUGCAGCUACUCAAGCCAACUUCAAUGGAGAUAAUAAACAAACAGAAGCAAAUAACCAAUCCGAGGUUAGUAUGACUGAUGAGGACUUCAAUGGAGAUAAUAAACAAACAGAAGCAAGUAAGCAAUCCGAGGUUAGU
rnacentral:lncRNA from 1 species